GAUGAACGCUGGCGGCGUGCCUAAUACAUGCAAGUCGAGCGAACAGACCAGGAGUUUGCUCCUCUGACGUUAUCGGCGGACGGGUGAGUAACACGUGUAUAACCUACCUAUCAGACUGGGAUAACUUCGCGAAACCGUAUCUAAUACCGGAUAAUAUAUUGAACCUCAUUGUGCAAUAGUUAAAUUCGGUUUUUCUUUCACUUAUAGAUUGAUACGCGCCGGAUUCACUAGUUGUUAAGGUAACGGCUUACCAAGGCAACGACGCGUAGCCGACCUGAAAGCGUGAUUGGCCAGCCGGGAACAGAGAAACGGCCGAGACUCCUACGGUAGGCAGCAGUAGGGAAUCUUCCGCAAUGGGGGAGAGCCUGACGGAGCAACGCGGCGUGAGUGAUGAAGGUCUUCGGAUCGGAAAGCUCUGUUGUCAGGGAAGAACAAAUGUGUAAGUAACUAUGCACGUACUGACGGUACCUAGUCAAAAAGCCACGGCUAACUACGUG
rnacentral:rRNA from 1 species